UACGUAGGGGGCAAGCGUUGUCCGGAAUCAUUGGGCGUAAAGCGCGCGUAGGCGGCCCGAUAAGUCCGCUGUGAAAGUCAAAAGGCUCAACCUUUGAAUGCCGGUGGAUACUGUCGGGCUAGAGUCCGGAAGAGGCGAGUGGAACUCCUGGUGUAGCGGUGGAAUGCGCAGAUAUCAGGAAGAACACCGAUAGCGAAGGCAGCUCGCUGGGACGGUACUGACGCUGGAGGCGACGAAAGCCGUGG
rnacentral:rRNA from 1 species